AUGCACAGAAAGGGACGACGUGUACUCAGGACACCACGAAUAACAACUCUGCAUGCAGUGCGCAGCCCCGACAUGUCAAGUCCGCGAACGCAACACACGACGAGCAAAAACGACCGUUUUCGAUUGAUGCCCAAAAGAUGCUGGCGGAAGAAAAAGUCGACAGGGUCGUCCUGGUCCUGCGGGUCUGAAGGGACCACAGCAAUCCCGCAGAGGAGAAGACAGACAGCGGGAUUUUCACCCUAAAACACCGGACUUCCUGUUCCUUUCGGCAUCGCUGUGUAAAAAAAAUCCCAAAAAAAGGUAAAAAGUGAAGAACUUAACAAAAAUGUCACUAGUUUGAAGUCCCCGAGCAGGGGCGAAUGGGAACACAGUGGGAAGACGGCAGCCAAUGAAAACGCUGUUUUUCUGUGACGCAUUUUAGACUACCAAUUGAUUUCUGCUACGUGUGAUAUGUUUUCCUCACAAUGCCGGUUGAAAGAAUACUCGAAAAUUUGGAAAUAAAAUACCACCAAUACUCGGGCGUCAGUACUUACCUUUCCAUUU